CCUACGGGUGGCAGCAGUGGGGAAUCUUCCGCAAUGGGCGCAAGCCUGACGGAGCAACGCCGCGUGAGUGAAGAAGGUCUUCGGAUCGUAAAGCUCUGUUGAUGGGGACGAACGUGCCUAAUGCGAAUAGUAUUAGGUAAUGACGGUACCCAUCGAGGAAGCCACGGCUAACUACGUGCCAGCAGCCGCGGUAAUACGUAGGUGGCGAGCGUUGUCCGGAAUCAUUGGGCGUAAAGGGAGCGCAGGCGGGCAUGUAAGUCUUUCUUAAAAGUGCGGGGCUCAACCCCGUGAUGGGAAAGAAACUAUGUGUCUUGAGUACAGGAGAGGAAAGCGGAAUUCCCAGUGUAGCGGUGAAAUGCGUAGAUAUUGGGAGGAACACCAGUGGCGAAGGCGGCUUUCUGGACUGCAACUGACGCUGAGGCUCGAAAGCCAGGGGAGCGAACGGGAUUAGAUACCCGAGUAGUC
rnacentral:rRNA from 1 species